rnacentral:tRNA from 1 species
GGGCGCUUAGCUCAGCGGGAGAGCGUUCCGUUCACACCGGAGAGGUCAGUGGUUCAAUCCCACUAGCGCCCACCA